AUCGGGCGAUGUUCUUUCUCUGACUCGCUCGGCACCUUACGGAAAUUCAAAGUUUCCGGCUUCUGCGGGGAAUAGUGUCACAAGGCUGACACUUAAAGACAUUGACGGAAGGGCACCACCAGGCGUGGAGCCUGCGGCUUAAUUUGACUCAACACGGGGAAACUCACCAGGUCCAGAUGAAAUAAGGAUUGACAGAUUGAGAGCUCUUUCUUGAUUUUUCAGGUGGUGGUGCAUGGCCGUUCUUAGUUGGUGGAGUGAUUUGUCUGCUUAAUUGCGAUAACGAACGAGACCUUAACCUGCUAAAUAGCCAGGCUAGCUUUGGCUGGUCGCCGGCUUCUUAGAGGGACUAUCGGCUCAAGCCGAUGGAAGUUUGAGGCAAUAACAGGUCUGUGACGCCCUUAGAUGUUCUGGGCCGCACGCGCGCUACACUGACAGAGCCAACGAGUUAUUCACCUUGGCCGGAAGGUCUGGGUAAUCUUGUUAAACUCUGUCGUGCUGGGGAUAGAG
rnacentral:rRNA from 1 species